GGAAAAGAGGAAUUGACAGUAAGAUUUGAAGCUGUCGUUGGAACAGAUUGUGAAGGCAAUUGAUGUAAGACAUAUAACCCUUGUUGAACUUCAGCUAAACCAAUCCUCUUCCAAGUAAUCAGAUCUUCAGGCCUUCAAAUCAAACUUGCCGGGCUCACUAUAAUGCUUCUCAAGCUGCUCGAUUUUGUUGAAUCUGAAGCCCCUGAUCCUUAUCUCCUCAGGUACUGAAGUAUCUUUGUAAUCAACAUUUUCGAGGAUCCAACCUUUGUUCCUCAAGGAACCUCCUAUUCUUACCUCUGCUUCAUCAACAGAUUUAAUCACAAGAGCUCCAUCCAAGGAAAGGUCCUCUAAAAAGACAUUAACACCCUUAAUGGCCAUCACAGACCUUUGAGAGAUGGAGCAACUUCCACUAACUUUACUUUUGACCUCUGAAAAUGUCAAUCCCCAUUUUGGAUUCCAUGUAAUACAAGGCCACACUUCCACCUCUUGCCCAUUGA
rnacentral:misc_RNA from 1 species